rnacentral:sRNA from 1 species
GAAAGUCUAAAUGAAACUGCCUCAAAAAU